ACGCUCGACACCUACGGGAGGCAGCAGUGGGGAAUAUUGGGCAAUGGGCGCAAGCCUGACCCAGCAACGCCGCGUGAAGGAAGAAGGCUUUCGGGUUGUAAACUUCUUUUAUCAGGGAAGAUGAAUGAGACUGUACCUGAUGAAUAAGCCACGGCUAACUACGUGCCAUCAGUCGCGGUAAUCUGAGCGGGCUGGCAAGGC
rnacentral:rRNA from 1 species